rnacentral:rRNA from 1 species
AACGUAGGAGACAAACGUUAUCCGGAGUUACUGGGCGUAAAGGGCGUGUAGGUGGUUUUGUAAGUCUGGCGUGAAAUUUUUCGGCUUAACCGGGAAAGGUCGUCGGAUACUGCAGAACUAGAGGACGGUAGAGGCGUGUGGAAUUCCGGGUGUAGUGGUGAAAUGCGUAGAGAUCCGGAGGAACACCAGUGGCGAAGGCGACACGCUGGGCCGUACCUGACACUGAUGCGCGACAGCAUGGGGAGCAAACGAGG